rnacentral:rRNA from 1 species
CAGUAGCCGCGGGAACACGAAGGGGGCUAGCGUUGCUCGGAAUGACUGGGCGUAAAGGGCGCGUAGGCGGAUUGUUUAGUUAGGCGUGAAAUUCCUGGGCUUAACCUGGGGACUGCGCUUAAUACAGGCAGUCUAGAGUGAGGAAGAGGGUUGUGGAAUUCCCAGUGUAGAGGUGAAAUUCGUAGAUAUUGGGAAGAACACCGGUGGCGAAGGCGGCAACCUGGUCCUUGACUGACGCUGAGGCGCGAAAGCGUGGGGAGCAAGCAGGAUUAGAUACCCGUGUAGUCCCUGUCUCUUAUAC